rnacentral:rRNA from 1 species
CCUGGCUCAGAUUGAACGCUGGCGGCAGGCUUAACACAUGCAAGUCGAGCGGAGUGAUGGUGCUUGCACUAUCACUUAGCGGCGGACGGGUGAGUAAUGCUUAGGAAUCUGCCAUUUAGUGGGGGACAACAUUCCGAAAGGAAUGCUAAUACCGCAUACGUCCUACGGGAGAAAGCAGGGGAUCUUCGGACCUUGCGCUAAAUGAUGAGCCUAAGUCGGAUUAGCUAGUUGGUGGGGUAAAGGCCUACCAAGGCGCCGAUCUGUAGCGGGUCUGAGAGGAUGAUCCGCCACACUGGGACUGAGACACGGCCCAGACUCCUACGGGAGGCAGCAGUGGGGAAUAUUGGACAAUGGGCGGAAGCCUGAUCCAGCCAUGCCGCGUGUGUGAAGAAGGCCUUUUGGUUGUAAAGCACUUUAAGCGAGGAGGAGGCUCUCCUAGAUAAUACCUAGGAUGAGUGGACGUUACUCGCAGAAUAAGCACCGGCUAACUCUGUGCCAGCAGCCGCGGUAAUACAGAGGGUGCGAGCGUUAAUCGGAUUUACUGGGCGUAAAGCGUGCGUAGGCGGCUGAUUAAGUCGGAUGUGAAAUCCCUGAGCUUAACUUAGGAAUUGCAUUCGAUACUGGUCAGCUAGAGUAUGGGAGAGGAUGGUAGAAUUCCAGGUGUAGCGGUGAAAUGCGUAGAGAUCUGGAGGAAUACCGAUGGCGAAGGCAGCCAUCUGGCCUAAUACUGACGCUGAGGUACGAAAGCAUGGGGACCAAACAGGAUUAGAUACCCUGGUAGUCCAUCCCGUAAACGAUGUCUACUAGCCGUUGGGGCCUUUGAGGCUUUAGUGGCGCAGCUAACGCGAUAAGUAGACCGCCUGGGGAGUACGGUCGCAAGACUAAAACUCAAAUGAAUUGACGGGGGCCCGCACAAGCGGUGGAGCAUGUGGUUUAAUUCGAUGCAACGCGAAGAACCUUACCUGGCCUUGACAUACUAGAAACUUUCCAGAGAUGGAUUGGUGCCUUCGGGAAUCUAGAU